GACGGAGGGUGCUAGCGUUGUUCGGAAUUACUGGGCGUAAAGGGCGUGUAGGCGGCCAACUAAGUCCGACGUGAAAUCCCCAGGCUUAACCUGGGAACUGCGUCGGAUACUGGAUGGCUUGAAUCCGGGAGAGGGAUGCAGAAUUCCAGGUGUAGCGGUGAAAUGCGUAGAUAUCUGGAGGAAUACCGGUGGCGAAGGCGGCAUCCUGGACCGGCAUUGACGCUGAAGCGCGAAAGCUAGGGGAGCAAACGGG
rnacentral:rRNA from 1 species